GGGGGGGACGAGCGUUGUUCGGAUUUACUGGGAGUAAAGGGCGUGUAGGCGGACUUUCAAGUCGGAAGUGAAAACCGGAGGCUUAACCUCAGGCUUGCUUUCGAUACUGUCAGUCUUGAGUGCAGAAGAGGAAAGCGGAAUUCCAGGUGUAGCGGUGAAAUGCGUAGAUAUCUGGAAGAACACCAGUAGCGAAGGCGGCUUUCUGGUCUGACACUGACGCUAAAGCGCGAAGGCUAGGGGAGCAAACAGGAUUAGAUACCCUGGUAGUCCUAGCGGUAAACGAUGGGUACUAGGUGUCGGGGGUAUCGACCCCCUCGGUGCCGAAGUUAACGCAUUAAGUACCCCGCCUGGGGAGUACGACCGCAAGGUUG
rnacentral:rRNA from 1 species